GGUGGCUCAGUGGUAGAGUAUUUGCCUUGUAUGCAUUAGGCCCUGGGUUCGAUUCCUCAGCACCA
rnacentral:tRNA from 1 species